AGAGCAUUAGGUAAACUUCCCUGUGCUAUACAGCAGGUUCUUAUUAGUUAUUUAUGAGGAUGAGUUUACGGAAUACCCUUAUGCCUUCCAAGUAGGGAAGAGGCAUGAUAGGAUUUCAAUUUGUAUAAAGAAAAAAAAAAUCUGUGUAGAAAUGGGGGGAGCUUGGGUUGUUGGAAGGUGGUGGGGCAAGAUCAAAGAGCCAGGCUAAUAAGGUGACUGUUAAACCACAUCCAGCAAGAAAUGAUGAAAGCCCAAACUAAAGCCAUGACUGGGGUGUGGGAGGAGAGAUAUGUUUCUGAGAUGUGGUAACAGUUUUGCCAGAAGCGUUCUGUUAUCCGACUUGGUUGGCAAGAUAGAUGAUCACCAACACAAACAAUGAAAGAGGAGAACAGGCUGGUGGGUGGUGCGGAGGUCAGCUUGGUGCAGCAGCCUAUGGGCGUCCAAGUGGCGGGGGCUGGAGUGGGAAGGCACAAACCUGCAGGUCAGGAAGAAGAGAUGGAGAGCAGUAAUUAAUAUCAGCGGGAGGGAGAGGCUGCCAGGAACAACUGCAGAGGAUGAGAAAAUAAGAGAAUCAGGGUUGAACCUACUAUUCAAACUUCUAUGAAUGUUCAGAAUAGUUUACCAUUGAGAAAAAUUUCAAAUUAAGAAAAGAGCAGAUGAAGGAAGAAGGAUCUUUCAUGGAUAAAGAUUCACCAACCAAGGAUCUGGGAAUUCACGAGUUCGCACAGUGAGAAUGUUGUAUGAAUGGUGGUUCAUGGCCACAGGGGAUAGAGAAAAAGACAGACAGACGUGUUUCCAUUGGAUUUGGAAAUUAACAGGGCCUUGCUGACUUCAGCCAGUGCGGUUUCAGAGGGUGCUGUUGGUGGCUCCCAAGGAGGGGAGAAGAAGAGACAAGUGCAAACUAUUCCUUCAAGAAAUUGCACCGGGAAGGCAGAGAGAGACAGAGAGAAGUAGCUAGAGAGGAACUCAGAAGUCCAGAUCCAGAGAAUUGUGGCUCUUUUGUUAAGGCGAGCAAAGCUAGAAUAUGUUGUCAGGAUGAGGGCAGAGUCAGGAGGAAAGGCGAGGUUCCAGACAUCUGGGAUGAUACCAAGGAGAAGCCCUGGAGGAGGUGGAGAGGGUGUAAACCAGGAUCCCAGGUUCCCAAGUCAGAGGCAGAGCCAGUCCUGGUGAUGAACGUCUCAGGUGUGUUUUGCAGAAGAGGCUGGAAUGCUCAUGCGUGGACACCUAUGACCCGAACACAGGAACCCGAGUAUCCGAUCUCACUGAUGGGCCUGAGUUAAUCUUGUACCACCACCACCACCACCUCCGUCAUCAUUUCUCUCCCCUGAAGCCUUCUGUGGAACAAGACACAUCUCAAAGCUUCUCUCUGUUUCUUCUGCAUCUCAGAGGAUGGAUCCCUGCCAGUGGAAGGCUGAAGCCAGCCCGUCUGCCUUUCUUGGAGCUAACCUUGCUUCCCAGACAAGCCACUGCUAGGAUAUUUUAUCUGAGGCAAGUGCAGUCCUGAGCAAAGGCAAACUCAUUCCUGGGAUUUAGGGAAGGAACCUGAGAAAUUUCCUUAAUAGGAACCUCUACCCUAUUUCCACUAUGUCUGAAAAAAAUCUCAUCAUAAGAGCCUCCUGGCUGACUAUCUACAAAUCUCCUUCCUCUUUAAAAAUUGUGGUGAAAUUCACGAAACACAAAAUUAGCUGUUAUAUUAAAGUGAAGACUUCAGUGGCAUUAGAUACACCCACAACACACCCAUCUCUAGUUCCAA